GUUAAGGAGAAGACAGAUGGCUGCCCAGGGCCCGCUCUAGGAACAUGGCGUGGCUGUGUGUACAAGAAGGACUCAGACACCGGUUCUGUCCUCCAGACAAGGUUACAGUGAUUGUAAUAUUGGAUUCACAAAAUCUGUGUUCAAGGCAACUUUACAGAAAGGGACUACCACUAAUGACAGGAAUGGACUGCAGUGAAUAAUUAGGACACGAUGCACUUGAAGUACUUAGUACCUUUGUUCUUUAAAUUCUUUUUAAUUAUUUAUAUAUUAUAUGUUUUAAAUUAAAGUAUUUGUAAACCUGAA